CGUACACAACCUUCCUUUUAGUGGGGAAUAGCCCAGAGAAAUUUGGAUUAAUACCCCGUAACAUAUUGAAGUGGCAUCACUUUAAUAUUAUAGGUUUACCGCUAAGAGAUGGGUGUGCGGCUGAUUAGGUAGUUGGCGGAGUAACAGCCCACCAAGCAACGAUCAGUAGCUGAUGUGAGAGCAUGAUCAGCCACACGGGCACUGAGACACGGUCCAG
rnacentral:rRNA from 1 species